rnacentral:lncRNA from 1 species
UGUGCUCAAGUCCCGGGUUACAAACUGGCAGCGGACCAGGAUCAUUUCGGAGACGACAUUUACUGUGUCCAGCUUAGCCUAACAGAUGCCAUCAGCCGUUGCAACUCCGACACAAGGUGCAAGAGCUUUAACACCUGGUACCUGAACAACGACGGAUCGGCUUAUGCAUGCUUGAAGACUGUGGGUACUCCAACGACACCGAAGGCUGGUGUUUGUUCAUACGUAAAGGUUUAGCGUCGUGAAUAAGGUAGAGAAGGUAGGACAUGGGGGAUAGUGUUACUGCAUGCGCAUGCAGGAAAGCCUAAGCACCGUAACCUAAGCUGGUACGCCCGCUUAUUCAUAUGUAGUGUGCGGUGUUUGCUUGCAUGUGCAACUUGUGGUGCGGACUUCGUUGAUGUGUACAAGGGAAAGCCGUCAAAACAAUCGUUGCGUCGCUACCCGCUGGCUUGAUGUCCGCAUAAGAUUAUUGGGUAGUGGAUUCAAGAUUUUCCGGUAUGAAGGGGUUAGACCCGCCGCUUAUGUGGUUUGGCCUUCCAUCCUACACGGAACAUUAUAGGCUUUGGGGAGAAGGCAUUAACUCAAACCCUAAGUCAAUCCUUCUCGGGGUUCUAUCUCCGCUGGUUUGUCUUCCUUGUCAUCUCCUUUGGUUGCUCUUUCGGCUUUCCCCAAACAAAAGGGAGCUGAAGUCAACUGAUGCGAGUAAACGAAGGGGAUAACCGAAGCAGAUGACAAGGAAGACAACUUGUCCGGUUUGAAACCUGUGAAGAUAGAACUCCGAGAAGGUUUGAUUUAUAAUUAGGGUUUAAGUUAACUCCUUCCNN